rnacentral:siRNA from 1 species
CCAGAUCCUAAUGUUGCUA